GACGAACGCUGGCGGCGUGCUUAACACAUGCAAGUCGAACGGUGAUGGCCAGCUUGCUGGUCUGAUCAGUGGCGAACGGGUGAGUAACACGUGAGCAACCUACCCCAGACUCUGGAAUAACCAUGGGAAACGAUGGCUAAUACCGGAUACGAGACGCACACGCAUGUGUGGUGUCUGGAAAGAUUUAUCGGUCUGGGAUGGGCUCGCGGCCUAUCAGCUUGUUGGUGGGGUAGUGGCCUACCAAGGCGACGACGGGUAGCCGGCCUGAGAGGGCGACCGGCCACACUGGGACUGAGAUACGGCCCAGACUCCUACGGGAGGCAGCAGUGGGGAAUAUUGCACAAUGGGCGCAAGCCUGAUGCAGCGACGCCGCGUGAGGGAUGACGGCCUUCGGGUUGUAAACCUCUUUCAGCAGGGAAGAAGCGAAAGUGACGGUACCUGCAGAAGAAGCGCCGGCUAACUACGUGC
rnacentral:rRNA from 1 species